GGGAGGUAGUGACAAUAAAUAACAAUACGGGGUUCUUUAGGAUCUCGUAAUUGGAAUGAGUACAAUUUAAAUCUCUUAACGAGGAACAAUUGGAGGGCAAGUCUGGUGCCAGCAGCCGCGGUAAUUCCAGCUCCAAUAGCGUAUAUUAAAGUUGUUGCAGUUAAAAAGCUCGUAGUUGAAUUUCGGGGUUAGUAAGUUGGUCAUGCCUUCGGUAUGUACUGGCUUUACUGAUUCCUCCUUCUUGACGAACCGUGAUGUCAUUAAUUUGGUGUUGCGGGAAAUCAGGACUGUUACUUUGAAAAAUUAGAGUGUUUAAAGCAGGCUAACGCUUGAAUACAUUAGCAUGGAAUAAUGAAAUAGGACGUUAAUCCUAUUUUGUUGGUUUCUAGGAUCGACGUAAUGAUUAAUAGGGAUAGUUGGG
rnacentral:rRNA from 1 species